rnacentral:tRNA from 1 species
GCCUCUAUAGCUCAGUUGGUUAGAGCAACCGCCUCUUAAGCGGUGGGUCCUCGGUUCAAGUCCGAGUGGGGGUAC